rnacentral:rRNA from 1 species
CCUACGGGAGGCAGCAGUGGGGAAUUUUGGACAAUGGGCGCAAGCCUGAUCCAGCAAUGCCGCGUGCAGGAUGAAGGCCUUCGGGUUGUAAACUGCUUUUGUACGGAACGAAACGGUGAGCUCUAAUAAAGUUUGCUAAUGACGGUACCGUAAGAAUAAGCACCGGCUAACUACGUGCCAGCAGCCGCGGUAAUACGUAGGGUGCGAGCGUUAAUCGGAAUUACUGGGCGUAAAGCGUGCGCAGGCGGUUAUAUAAGACAGAUGUGAAAUCCCCGGGCUCAACCUGGGACCUGCAUUUGUGACUGUAUAGCUAGAGUACGGUAGAGGGGGAUGGAAUUCCGCGUGUAGCAGUGAAAUGCGUAGAUAUGCGGAGGAACACCGAUGGCGAAGGCAAUCCCCUGGACCUGUACUGACGCUCAUGCACGAAAGCGUGGGGAGCAAACAGGAUUAGAUACCCUGGUAGUCCACGCCCUAAACGAUGUCAACUGGUUGUUGGGUCUUCACUGACUCAGUAACGAAGCUAACGCGUGAAGUUGACCGCCUGGGGGUAAGGUACGGCGCGAGUAGUUAAGUUACAANAGAGUUGAGGCGNGAGAGNGCGACGGACGACGACGAGGGAGGAGG